GAGAUCAUGACGGCGUCGCCGAUCUGCGACAGGUCACGGCAAAUACGGGCGAACUCCCCGGAGGGCAUCUUCACCACGCAGCUGUACUCUUGUUCCUGACAGGAGCAAAGAAAGUGAAGAUCAGGGAAUGCUGGGAAAUACUGCAGAAGAGGAACACAGAAAAGUGAAAAGGAGCAUAAAGACUUUGGAGGAUUUUCAUCAGAUGAACAGUUUCCGUAUGACGAACAGUUAGAAACUUACUGAUGGUCUCAAACACAAGAGCCAGAGUGUCAGCGGCGUCCUCCGCUCUGAGGGUGAUGAUGUCCUCAUUUCCCGCACACUUCAGGAUUUUGGACAUACUGAGAAAAGCAGUAAAACAUUUGAGCUUUUAUUUGAAUAGCAAAAAUUUAGCUUUUAUUAAUGUCACCUUUUAAUCUAUAAGUAUAAAGUACUAUGUUUGAAGUAAAUUUAUUUUAAAAACGAUAACGUGGUAUGUUUAAAAAAAAUGAUCCAAGUAUUUGUAUCAACAUGCUAAUCUAAUUCCGGAAACUCUUAUGAAAGAGUGACGUAAGCGGAAGUGCAAGUUCCCGGGUUUUGAGGAUUCCCGCCAACACUGCCGGCAAGAGUUUUGGCGCUAAAGUACCGCAGCAAGUGCGGCUCUGUGACAGCGCAAAGACAUAUUUGCACAUGUCAACGUUUUAGACGUUUUGUUUUUUUGCUGGUUGAAAUCAGCGAGUGGACAGUAAAGAGUUAACCGAGCAGGGAGACAUGCCCGGGCUUCUCCAGCAA